GCGGCAAUAGUCUAGCGGUAGGACAUGUCCCUGCCACGGACAUAACCCGGGUCCGAAUCCCGGUUGCCGCA
rnacentral:tRNA from 2 species